rnacentral:rRNA from 1 species
CAGCCGCCACGGUAAUACGUAGGUGGCAAGCGUUGUCCGGAAUUAUUGGGCGUAAAGGGCUCGCAGGCGGUUUCUUAAGUCUGAUGUGAAAGCCCCCGGCUCAACCGGGGAAGUGGCACCGAUACGAGCGGCCUCGAGGGGGGUAGGGGGCACUGGAACUUCCGGUGGAGCGGUGAAAUGCGUUGAGAUCGGAAGGAACGCCCGUGGCGAAAGCGAGUGCCUGGACCCUUUCUGACGCUGAGACGCGAAAGCCAGGGGAGCGAACGGGAUUAGAUACCCCCGUAGUCCCUGUCUCUUAUAC